GGCCAGGAGCUGGAAGCCACACACCCCCUGCCCUAUGUAAUCCUGUCUGCUUGUCAAAUAACCCAUUUCCCAGGAGGUAUUUCCAUUCACCUGGGACAGGUACCAUGUGACCACUCCUCCCAACCUCAAAGAUGGGCAACUGGAGGCUCUCUCUCUGCAGGGAGGAGACAGGUGUGGGGCUCUACUUCCCUCCUACCCACCCCUGCAGGGGAGGAGACAGGUGUGGGGCACUACUUCCCUCCUAACCCCCCUCUCUGCAGGGAGGAGACAGGUGUGGGGCACUACUUCCCUCCUACCCGCCCCCUGCAGGGGAGGAGACAGGUGUGGGGCACUACUUCCCUCCUAUCCCGCCCCCGCAGGGGAGGAGACAGGUGUGGAGCACUACUUCCCUCCUACCCCCCUCUCCCUGCAGGGAGGAGACAGGUGUGGGGCACUACUUCCCUCCUACCCCGCCCCCGCAGGGGAGGAGACAGGUGUGGAGCACUACUUCCCUCCUACCCCCCCUCUCCCUGCAGGGAGGAGACAGGUGUGGGGCUCUACUUCCCUCCUACCCCCCCUCCCUGCAGAGAGGAGACAGGUGCGGGGCACUACUUCCCUCCUACCCCCCUCUCUCUGCAGGGGAGGAGACAGGUGUGGGGCUCUACUUCCCUCCUACCCCCCCUCUGCAGGGAGGAGACAGGUGCGGGGCACUACUUCCUUCCUACCCCCCUCUCUCUGCAGGGAGGAGACAGGUGCAGGGCACUACUUCCCUCCUACCCCCCUCUCUCUGCAGGGGAGGAGACAGGUGUGGGGCUCUACUUCCCUCCUACCCCUUUCCCUUCCCAGCCCACUCUAAUCCUGAACUACACGUGUGUGUUUCUCACCUUUUAAAUGCAUUUUAUCACUUUGUGCGCCAUAUAUAUGCCUGUACUUAGGAUGCUUCCCUAGGUAGCGGCAAGGACCCGAAAUAGGAAUUUAGAUCCCACCUCACAAUAGAUUGAAAAUGGUGAAAUAGUACUUCCCUGAUCCACGUAGCAAGAAUCUAAAAUUCAAAAACAUGACGAAUCCAAGCAGAAUCUAAAAUGCAGAUAUGAAAAAACUUAAGUGUCAUUCACAGGUGGGCUGGAGUGGAAGCAGCAUCCUGGUGGGGCUGCCGUAGCUACUCACAAAAGCUGACUGAAUACUGCUCCUGAGUGCCACAUUCUGUGACUUUGCUUUGGCAGCUUUAAGCACGGUGAGAGAAUUUACACCGUGGAAACUGGCAAACCCUACAAAUAAGGACACCCCCCACACCCGGCCCCAGUGUGUGUCAUUCACCCACACACCACUGAGUGAACAGUCUUAUAAAAGCCAGAGUUUUUCUAGGAAGUAAGGUACUCUAAAAACCAACUUGCUAAAAUUUGAUGGUUUUAAGAGAUCAAUGAUGGGAUGGGUAUUUGGUGCAGCAGUUAAGUCCCCACUUGGGAUGCCCACAUCCCACACUGCAGUGUCGGGGUUCAAGCGCCGACUCUGCCAUCUGGGAUGCAGCCUGGGAUGCAGCUGGCGAGUCAAGCCUGGUGCUUGUCACCCAUAUGGGAGACCCAGACGGAGCUCCUGGCUUCAGCCUGGCCCAUCUCUUGGUGUUGCAAGCAUUUGGGGAGUGAAUCAACAGAUGAGAUCUGUGUCAGUCUGCCUUUCAAGUAAGUACAGUUGGACACUGCCAUGAAAAUAGGAUUAAGUUUAUUGUGGUGUUUGGAGGGUUGUGACAACACUUGGGAUUUUUAAAUACGUCUAGUUUUAAAUAGAUCUAGUUUUAAAGAGGUCUAAUGAAAGAAGAAAGUAUAGUCAACAUUCUUAGCAUGAUCACUUUACACAGAUUUGACAAUGCUGGGGUUAGAAUUCUGUUAGUAUUCACGUCCGUGGUGCAAAAGCGGCAUCUGAGAAACACAUUUUCUGGGAUGUAACCCUGCAUUUAACAAUCACCCCUGCUAUGACCCCAUGGCUUUUUCGCGAAUAACUUUAAACCACUCAAUAGGGGCUGCACUUCUGUUCCCUGGGAGAGGCUGUGGGUCCCCUUGUGGAAGCAGGAACUGCUAUAGCAAUCUCUCCGUUCCUUCUGCUUAAGCUGGCCCAGGGCAGAGUGGGGCCACGUGGGGAGCAAGUGCCUCUUUCUCAGAGGUGUGUCAAGAAGGUAAUUCCCGAAGGCCUCUCACAACCCUGCGUUCUCAUCCUUAGCAGUGAGCCAGGUUAUACAACACUGAAGACUUAAAAGCCUGUGGGGAGAUCUUCCCAGCCAGCCUUACGUGGCAGCCACAUCAGCACCCAAGGGAGAUGCAACAGAAAGCAGUGAUCAUGUUUCUGGGUGGCUCUGGAUCCUGAUUCCCAAGACCUUCUACUCAAUGCUUACAACUAGACAGGAGGAAAUCCCAGGUCCUGCCCUUUGACAGCUAGUCAGACUCCAGACAAUCCAAUAAUGGCAGAGCCAAUUCAUCAGAAGGAAGGUCACUGCUCAAUGACCAAUAGAACCGCCAACAUUUUAAAAUUUUCUAUUGAAUGUUUGAAACAUACAGUGUGAGAACGCACUAUCCCAAGUAUCCAUUACCAACCUCAGUUAUCAAAGGGCCUUGUAUUUCUGCUCUCAUCUACUUAACCCCAUUGCAGGGUUAAAGUGAAUUAUAGAAUUAUACUGUGUCUAAGUUUGCUGUUGUGUAGCUCUUAAAUAAGGACUUUAUAAAGACAAUGUCACACCAGGGAAGGCGUUAUGGUACAGUGGGUUAAAGCCACUGCUUGGGACACUGGCAUCCCAUAUCAGAGUUCUACUUCGGGUCCCAGUUACUCCACAUUUGAUGCAGUUUCCUACAAAUGCAUCCUGAAAUGCAGAAGAUAGCUUAAGUUCUUUAUCGCCUCCACACAUGUGAAGACACAGAUGGAGGUCUGGGCUCUGACUACAGUCUGCUCAGCCUCAGCUGUGCAACCAUCUGAGGAGUGAGCCAGCAGGUGGAAGACUCUUUCCCCCUGCGCUGCCUUUCAGGAUGAAACAUUUAAGACAACAUAGUUCUGUAUCAAGUGGUCUCUCCAAGUUUCCCUAGUCACCUCAGAAAUGUCUACCAUAGGUGUCUUAUUUGAAUCAGGGUCCAAGCUUGAUAUAAGAACCUCAGGCCGGCGCCACAGCUCACUAGGCUAAUCCUCCGCCUUGUGGCGCCGGCACACCGAGUUCUAGUCCCGGUCAGGGCGCCGGAUUCUGUCCUGGUUGCCCCUCUUCCAGUCCAGCUCUCUGCUGUGGCCAGGGAGUGCAGUGGAGGAUGGCCCAAGUGCUUGGGCCCUGCACCCCAUGGGAGACCAGGAGAAGCACCUGGCUCCUGCCAUCGGAUCAGCGUGGUGCGCCGGCCGCGGCGGCCAUUGGCGGGUGAACCAACGGCAAAGGAAGACCUUUCUCUCACUGUCCACUCUGCCUGUCAAAAUAAAAAAAAAACGAACAACCCCA
ensembl:lncRNA